GAUGAAGAACGUAGCGAAAUGCGAUAAGUAAUGUGAAUUGCAGAAUUCAGUGAAUCAUCGAAUCUUUGAACGCACAUUGCGCCCCUUGGUAUUCCGAGGGGCAUGCCUGUUCGAGCGUCAUUUCACCACUCAAGCCUCGCUUGGUAUUGGGCGCCGCGGUGUUCCGCGCGCCUCAAAGUCUCCGGCUGAGCUGUCCGUCUCUAAGCGUUGUGAUUUCAUUAAUCGCUUCGGAGCGCGGGCGGUCGCGGCCGUUAAAUCUUUCACAAGGUUGACCUCGGAUCAGGUAGGGAUACCCGCUGAACUUAAGCAUAUCAAUAAGCGGAGGA
rnacentral:misc_RNA from 1 species